ensembl:snRNA U6 U6 spliceosomal RNA
GUGCUUGCUUCAGCAGCACAUAUACUAAAAUUGGGACGAUACAGAGAUUAGCAUGGCCUAUGCACAACGAUGACACACAAAUUCAGCAAGUCUUACAUAUUUUU